CAACGAGCCGCUGGAGCCGCCAGUGACGUCACGAAGCCCCUCUCUGCAGCAGAGAGCGGUAAGGCCUGCAGAGGAGGACCAGACCCGAGAAACUACUCCUGGUCUGGCAUUUUGUUUGGUUCUGCUGCCUUCCUGGAGGAGGGCAUCGGCUGAGAUACCGCUGCCAACAAUUAAACUUUGUCCGACUCCUGCUUCUAGCAUUUUACUUCUGAUGAACAUAGAAAUUACUGUUUCUCUCACGUGUAUUCUGCUCUGUCUUCUGAAACUCCCAGUCGGUCAUGGCAGUUGACCACUCGCACUCAGGAAGGUUCUGCUGGAGGUGAUUUCUUCAUUUAAAUGGGGAGUUUUUCCUCCCCCUUACAUUUGCUACAUGUAUGAGGGUUUUUAAGUCAAUGACGCAGUGCAAGCGAUUGCCUACUGUCACUAUACGGAAUCGCCCUGGAGGAGUGAAUACUGCAAGUCAAUGUCUCAGUGCAACCUGCCAGGUGUUACUGCACAACAAUGCAGACAAGCUGAAGGCCGUUAUCAAAGCAACCUGGGCUUCCUUUACGUUUCAGCAGAGACACAGACUGCACUGUGCUGAUGGAGUAAUUUAUACAAAAGAAGCCCUGACCGAGUAUUGAGCGCAUAUACAAUGUGGAAAUGCUUUCGGCGCAGCACAUGAACCUCGCUUCAUAUCAAUCUCUUCCUCCUUUACAAGACACCACACUGUCAAAAGUGCCUGAGGAGACGCAAGCACUGUGAGUGAAUGAGUGGGAGGAAGGAGAAGUUGAUGGUGAUGGAACGAUCAGCAACUCUUCAUUUAUCUGCAGGCCGUUGGAGGAAGAGCCCCAGCUGAGAUGGGGUUAAUAUUUCUCCAUCCUAAAAGUUCUGCAGGGACUUCUGCGAUUUGUCACCCCAGUGGUAUGGCCCGGCGUCAGGAAUACAGUUAAUGGUUAGACGCACUCCUCCCUCCGCACGUUGACAAAGGAAGGUCCGCCUCAGCCAGGAAGCGCCGUGGAGGAACAGGGAUCCUGUCACUAUCUGCCUCCUCAAAAAGAUGGCAGUUCCUGACCAGUUAAUGGUUAACAGACAUGCGGACGUGUCAAUCUUCGGGAGUGACAGGGAGCAUAAACGCACAAACCCGCAGACGGUGGGAGCCCAGUGCUGAUGCUGUAAACAUAUCUUGUUAACAGGAAGCAAACCCUAUGCCGCAGCAGCACUGAGUGACAGGAUCACAGAUGACUAACAACAGCAGCACUCACUCCUUUUUCUUUCCCCCUCUGCUGUUUUUACCUGAGACCUUUUUUGCUGCUAGGUCUUUAAAACAUGUUUUGCGGUCAUUAAAAAUCAGAGGAGAAGUGACUUAAGAAAAUGAUUUGUUUGGACAUUUGCUGAUGACUGGUCUUAUGCAGCUAUAUGCAACAAAUGGAGCUACAAAACCACUGAAUCACAUUACAUAUUCACACAGUGAUUGCUUGCAACACAAGACAAGGGGAUUUGGGGACCCAUAGAGAGAGAAACUGUUUUGAUUUUUAAAUGUGCGCUGCUGAUCUGACUCAUCCAUAUGAAAGCCUGCAUUUAAGAGUCACAGGAGAAAGAGGGAAAAAAAAAUCUGAAAGAAAGAAUGAAAGCCACAUCUCUUUAGAUUUGCAAGACUCUGCAGGUUUGAGAUCAGAGACAGCUCCUGUCUGAUACCACCAGCUCUUCAAGGCUUGGGAGCACAUACUGUAUCUGAUACACCCCUGUGUAACCUCUCCAUGGUUCCUAUACACUCAGACAGGGAGGGACGUUGUUCUCCGCCAACCCCCACCGCUGGGGAAAGUGACAGUCAAUCACUGGCUAAAAGCCACCUUGCCGGAGAAACGGUGAGCUGGCUAUUAUGAACAGUUUGUGAGAACUGAGGAAGGGAGGAAGGAGGUUGUGAGAUGCAACAGCUCUGCUAUACUGUUAAAAGACGGAUGCAUGGAGACCUGCACAGAAAUCGGAGCGCUUUUCCCUAAAAAUAUUUCCACUUGCUAAUUCGCCUUCCAAUUCUCACUUGCUCAUAAUGUAACAGAGAUCUUUGCUCUACUAAUUGCAGGAAGCAAACAAAGGAAAGGGUGUGCCAUUAAGUUUCUAUAUUUAAAAUGAAAAAUUGUAGUUCAUACAUUUAAAUAAAUACACUGUACUCUUA